rnacentral:ribozyme from 1 species
AAAGUUGAAGAUGAUGAAGAUGAAGAAAUACGUUUUUCUGGUUUUUUUUUUGGUUUUUUUUUUUUUUUUAGUUUU